UACUUGCGCAAUGGGCGAAAGCCUGACGCAGCGACGCCGCGUGGGGGAUGACGGCCUUCGGGUUGUAAACCUCUUUCAGCAGGGACGAAGUUGACGUGUACCUGCAGAAGAAGCGCCGGCUAACUACGUGCCAGCAGCCGCGGUAAUACGUAGGGCGCAAGCGUUGUCCGGAAUUAUUGGGCGUAAAGAGCUCCGU
rnacentral:rRNA from 1 species